ensembl:lncRNA
GAAUAAUGUAGAUCUGAGAGUGGUGUGAAAGGUUAAUUUUUUCUCUCUUGGCCUAGUGACUGGGGCACCCGAGGACGCUCCAACUGGUGAGAUGAAUUGAUCUGGCCAGGAGGAAGAAAGCCAGGGGCUACAUAGGGUGUGUUUUGUGAGACUUUUAUGGCCUACAGGCUCAAGGUCGAGCAAAGAGGAGGAGGAGGAGGAAAUGGAGGGGAAGAAGUAGAAGAAGAGGAGAAAGAAGCUUUACAAGGCAGACUGAGAAACUUAAGUUUCCAAUUGAGAAAUUCCUUGGAAAACAAGUGCUGCCUCAAGAAGAUCAAACCAGUCAAUCCUAACGGUAAUCAAUCCUGAAUACUCAUUGGAAGGACUGAUGAUGAAGCUGAAGCUCCAACACAUUGGCUACCUGAUUCGAAAAGCUGACUCAUUGGAAAAGACCCUGAUACUGGAAAGAUUGAAGGCAAAAGGAGAAGAAGGCAACAGAGGAUGAGAUGUUUGGAUGGCAUCACCGAUUCAAUGGACAUGAACUUGGGAAAAGUCCGGGAGAUGGUGAGGGACAGUCAGACACAACUUAGCGACUGAACAAGAAGUACCUGAACAUACCCAGACAAGACAGAUCCACACCUGACUUUCACUCCUGGCCUGAAUAUGGUGAGUAUUCUGACUGCAUCCUCUCAGGCUCUAUUCAUUUGCGUGUGUCCACUCCUCUACGUGAAAAGGGAAGGUCCCAAACUGCCACCAAUUCUCUGUAACCAAUUAUGGUAAAAUCA